rnacentral:rRNA from 1 species
CUGGCGGCGGCUUACACAUGCAAGUCGAGCGGGGGAGGUUGCUUCGGUAACUGACCUAGCGGCGGACGGGUGAGUAAUACUUAGGAAUCUGCCUAUUAAUGGGGGACAACAUCUCGAAAGGGAUGCUAAUACCGCAUACGCCCUACGGGGGAAAGCAGGGGAUCACUUGUGACCUUGCGUUAAUAGAUGAGCCUAAGUCGGAUUAGCUAGUUGGUGGGGUAAAGGCCUACCAAGGCGACGAUCUGUAGCGGGUCUGAGAGGAUGAUCCGCCACACUGGGACUGAGACACGGCCCAGACUCCUACGGGAGGCAGCAGUGGGGAAUAUUGGACAAUGGGGGGAACCCUGAUCCAGCCAUGCCGCGUGUGUGAAGAAGGCCUUAUGGUUGUAAAGCACUUUAAGCGAGGAGGAGGCUCUUUUGGUUAAUACCCAAGAUGAGUGGACGUUACUCGCAGAAUAAGCACCGGCUAACUCUGUGCCAGCAGCCGCGGUAAUACAGAGGGUGCGAGCGUUAAUCGGAUUUACUGGGCGUAAAGCGUGCGUAGGCGGCUUUUUAAGUCGGAUGUGAAAUCCCCGAGCUUAACUUGGGAAUUGCAUUCGAUACUGGGAAGCUAGAGUAUGGGAGAGGAUGGUAGAAUUCCAGGUGUAGCGGUGAAAUGCGUAGAGAUCUGGAGGAAUACCGAUGGCGAAGGCAGCCAUCUGGCCUAAUACUGACGCUGAGGUACGAAAGCAUGGGGAGCAAACAGGAUUAGAUACCCUGGUAGUCCAUGCCGUAAACGAUGUCUACUAGCCGUUGGGGUCUUUGAGACUUUAGUGGCGCAGCUAACGCGAUAAGUAGACCGCCUGGGGAGUACGGUCGCAAGACUAAAACUCAA